CCUACGGGAGGCAGCAGUGAGGAAUAUUGGUCAAUGGCCGGAAGGCUGAACCAGCCAAGCCGCGUGAGGGAGGAAGGCGCAGAGCGUCGCAGACCUCUUUUGCCGGGGGACAAAAGGCCGGACUCGUCCGGUCCUGAGGGUACCCGGAGAAAAAGCAUCGGCUAACUCCGUGCCAGCCGCCGCGGUAAUACGGAGGAUGCGAGCGUUAUCCGGAUUUAUUGGGGUUAAAGGGUGCGCAGGGGGGCCUUUAAGUCGGCGGUGAAAUCGCGGGGCUCAACCCCGCCGAGCCGUUGAAACUGGGGGGCUUGAGUGCGGGAGAGGGAUGCGGAAUGCGCGGUGUAGCGGUGAAAUGCAUAGAUAUCGCGCAGAACCCCGAUUGCGAAGGCAGCGUGCCGGGCCGCCACUGACGCUGAGGCACGAAAGCGUGGGGAUCGAACAGGAUUAGAUACCCUAGUAGUC
rnacentral:rRNA from 1 species